rnacentral:rRNA from 1 species
UAAACGACUCUCGGCAACGGAUAUCUCGGCUCACGCAUCGAUGAAGAACGUAGCAAAAUGCGAUACUUGGUGUGAAUUGCAGAAUCCCGUGAACCAUCGAGUUUUUGAACGCAAGUUGCGCCCGAAGCCUUUUAGCUGAGGGCACGUCUGCCUGGGCGUCACAC